rnacentral:rRNA from 1 species
GAUGAACGCUGGCGGCGUGCCUAAUACAUGCAAGUCGAGCGAACGGACGAGAAGCUUGCUUCUCUGAUGUUAGCGGCGGACGGGUGAGUAACACGUGGAUAACCUACCUAUAAGACUGGGAUAACUUCGGGAAACCGGAGCUAAUACCGGAUAAUAUUUUGAACCGCAUGGUUCAAAAGUGAAAGACGGUCUUGCUGUCACUUAUAGAUGGAUCCGCGCUGCAUUAGCUAGUUGGUAAGGUAACGGCUUACCAAGGCAACGAUGCAUAGCCGACCUGAGAGGGUGAUCGGCCACACUGGAACUGAGACACGGUCCAGACUCCUACGGGAGGCAGCAGUAGGGAAUCUUCCGCAAUGGGCGAAAGCCUGACGGAGCAACGCCGCGUGAGUGAUGAAGGUCUUCGGAUCGUAAAACUCUGUUAUUAGGGAAGAACAUAUGUGUAAGUAACUGUGCACAUCUUGACGGUACCUAAUCAGAAAGCCACGGCUAACUACGUGCCAGCAGCCGCGGUAAUACGUAGGUGGCAAGCGUUAUCCGGAAUUAUUGGGCGUAAAGCGCGCGUAGGCGGUUUUUUAAGUCUGAUGUGAAAGCCCACGGCUCAACCGUGGAGGGCCAUUGGAAACUGGAAAACUUGAGUGCAGAAGAGGAAAGUGGAAUUCCAUGUGUAGCGGUGAAAUGCGCAGAGAUGUGGAGGAACACCAGUGGCGAAGGCGACUUUCUGGUCUGUAACUGACGCUGAUGUGCGAAAGCGUGGGGAUCAAACAGGAUUAGAUACCCUGGUAGUCCACGCCGUAAACGAUGAGUGCUAAGUGUUAGGGGGUUUCCGCCCCUUAGUGCUGCAGCUAACGCAUUAAGCACUCCGCCUGGGGAGUACGACCGCAAGGUUGAAACUCAAAGGAAUUGACGGGGGCCCGCACAAGCGGUGGAGCAUGUGGUUUAAUUCGAAGCAACGCGAAGAACCUUACCAAAUCUUGACAUCCUUUGACAACUCUAGAGAUAGAGCCUUCCCCUUCGGGGGACAAAGUGACAGGUGGUGCAUGGUUGUCGUCAGCUCGUGUCGUGAGAUGUUGGGUUAAGUCCCGCAACGAGCGCAACCCUUAAGCUUAGUUGCCAUCAUUAAGUUGGGCACUCUAAGUUGACUGCCGGUGACAAACCGGAGGAAGGUGGGGAUGACGUCAAAUCAUCAUGCCCCUUAUGAUUUGGGCUACACACGUGCUACAAUGGACAAUACAAAGGGCAGCGAAACCGCGAGGUCAAGCAAAUCCCAUAAAGUUGUUCUCAGUUCGGAUUGUAGUCUGCAACUCGACUACAUGAAGCUGGAAUCGCUAGUAAUCGUAGAUCAGCAUGCUACGGUGAAUACGUUCCCGGGUCU